CAAGAGGGCGAGCGACUGCGGGUGAUAGGCGUGCGAGGUCACCGCGACGCGGACGGGACUGCACGGUGCCGACUGUAGAGCGAGCAGGGCUCGAGCUCCGGUGUCGUCCCGGUAGUCUGCCAUCUUCUUUUCGGAGGGUUCUCCGUCCCUGAACGCCACAUCUGGGCACCUCGGUCUAUAGGCUGCAGCACAUGUCGUCACACCAGGAAACGAGGCUGAGUCCAGUAGUAUCUCGAGAUUUGUGCUGUCGUAUUAUUCAGAGCGGAUCAUUUAUCACAGUCCUUCACUUUCAUGUCUUUUAUUUUAUUUUUUUCCUUUGCACAUGUGAAUUAAAAAAGAAAAUAAAUUAAAAAAGAAAAUCCCAAAUAACAGCCACUACAAUCACAUCCAUGGGGGAAUGUUCAGUGUGUUAUUCUUUGAGCUACAGUUUGUGCAUCUGUUCGUGAUGAGUGGAAAUGCUGCAGUAAAUGGACAGCUUUGGUCGUAAGAUGACAGAUUUCAGCUGUAACCUGCUGCACAUUUCCUCUCAAUCCUCCCAGAGAACAUGUGGUGUCUGCAGUGUAGCUGGUUUGGCCACCUUGUUUUUUUUUUUUCUCUCCUUUUUUUUUUUAUCUCUACCCUCUGUUUAUAAACAUGGAAAGAACAAGAUGGUUAAAAAAGUCGGAUAGUGGAUCUGUGAAGGGAGCGGGAGCAGCUAAACAAUAACCGAAGAAAACAUGAAACACACACCGUCCACAGGAGGGCGCUGUUGGGAUAUAAAACAUUCAGAGAGCUAUAGAAAGGAAAACAAACACAAUGACAGUUUUAGCCUCUUAAUGCACUUUAUUAUUGAAACAUCUGCUCAAAAAAUCAGAAAUAUAAUUCAGUCCUGGAAUGUAACUAAGUACAUUUACUCAGCUACUGUACUUAAGCACACAUUGUUUAUUCUCGUGCCAUUUUAUACUUCUACUCCACUACAAUGGGGCAAUAUUGUACCUUUUUACUUUAAUUAUUUGACAAAGGAGUUACUAAUUACUUUACAAAUCAACAUUUUUGCAUACAAAACUGUCAAAGACCUUAUAAAAUAUAUUUUGUUAUAAAUGAAACUGUCCAACAGUACAAGUGCUGUUAAAACAAUCAAUUAAUUAAUGAAAUAGUCAAUUGACAGAAAAUUAAUUGGCUUUUUUUGAUAAUUGUUUCAGUUUUUUUUAUUGCUUUUAUUUUUAAUCAUUUUAAUUUUCUUUUAAUAAUUUUGAGCUUUGGACUGUUGGUUGGCCAAAACAAGCCUUGUGAAUGUGUCACUUUGGGUUCUGGGUAAUUGUGGCAGCAGUUUAUUGAUGCACAUUAAUAAGGGAAAUAUUUAUAUAUAUAUGUAUGGAUCAAUUAAUGGAAAAUACGUAGCAGAUUAAUCCAUAAUAAAAUUCUUAAUUUGUUGUAGUCCUAUACAAAAUAGUUUAAAAUGAGGUCCACCUCGACCAACAUACACAUACAUGAGUAAUAAUCUAAUUGUAGGAGCUAUUUAUUUGUUGUUAGUAUUUAGUUGUUUUAUUAAUAGUAAGUUGUAUUGUUUAGUAUGUUUGCUUUAUUUAUAUUCAGUUUUGUUUUGCUAGUUAUUUGUUUAGUUUAAUUAUUAUUAUUAUUUUGUUUACUAUAUUUAGUUUGGUUUAUUUAGUUUUUGUUUCAUUUGGGUAACACUGUGCACCUGAAGUUAUAAGUAGGAAGGCAAGGAUAGGACCAGCAUGCACCUGGGUGGACUGAUGGUAUUUUUUUAAUAGAGCAGGACAGACAUACAGAAACCAUGAUUUUGCGUUUGAAACCUCACAAAACACAGACAUUUGAAUGGACAAUGGACUUAUUUUCCCCCUGCAGACAUCACAAGCACUAAUAUAUAAUAUUAUAACAGUCAGUAUACAGUAGUAUAAGUUACAGUAUACAUAACAGAGUGUUUUAUAGUGUGGUAUUAAUGAUUAAAAACUUAAUAAAGGAUCUGAAUAUUUA